GGUAAGCAUCGACUAGAGCUACAGUAACCAUGUUGACAGUACUGUUACUGAACGAGUGGUAAGCAUCGACUAGAGCUACAGUAGCCAUGUUGACAGUACUGUUACUGAACGAGUGGUAAGCAUCGACUAGAGCUACGGAAGCCAUGUUGACAGUACUGUUACUGAACGAGUGGUAAGCAUCGACUAGAGCUACAGAAGCCAUGUUGACAGUACUGUUACUGAACGAGUGGUAAGCAUCGACUAGAGCUACAGUAGCCAUGUUGACAGUACUGUUACUGAACGAGUGGUAAGCAUCGACUAGAGCUACAGUAACCAUGUUGACAGUACUGUUACUGAACGAGUGGUAAGCAUCGACUAGAGCUACAUAAGCCAUGUUGACAGUACUGUUACUGAACGAGUGGUAAGCAUCGACUAGAGCUACAGAAGCCAUGUUGACAGUACUGUUACUGAACGAGUGGUAAGCAUCGACUAGAGCUACAGUAACCAUGUUGACAGUACUGUUACUGAACGAGUGGUAAGCAUCGACUAGAGCUACAGUAGCCAUGUUGACAGUACUGUUACUGAACGAGUGGUAAGCAUCGACUAGAGCUACAGUAGCCAUGUUGACAGUACUGUUACUGAACGAGUGGUAAGCAUCGACUAGAGCUACAGAAGCCAUGUUGACAGUACUGUUACUGAACGAGUGGUAAGCAUCGACUAGAGCUACACUAACCAUGUUGACAGUACUGUUACUGAACGAGUGGUAAGCAUCGACUAGAGCUACAGUAACCAUGUUGACAGUACUGUUACUGAACGAGUGGUAAGCAUCGACUAGAGCUACAGAAGCCAUGUUGACAGUACUGUUACUGAAC